UUUUCUUGUAUUCUGUAAUUUUUGGAUGGAAUGUCCUCUAUUAAGUCCAAAUGGUCUAAUAUGUCAUUUAGAUUGCUAUUGCCUAAUAAUUUUCAGUCUGGAUAAUCUGUACAUUGAUGUAAGUAGGCAUUAAAAUCCCCUACUAUUAUUUUAUUAUUGUCCGUUUCCCCCUUUAUGUCUGUUGAUAAUUGUUUUAUAUAUUUAGGUGCUCUUAUAUUAGGUGCAUCUAUGUUUACAGAUGUUAUAACCCUCUUCUUGUAUUGAUCCCUUUAUAAUUACAUAAUGCCCUUUUUGUCUUUUAUCAUAGACUUUGCUUUACAGUCUACUUUGUAAUAUGAGUAUUGUACACUAGCUUCUUAUCAUUUCCACUGCAAGGCAUAUCUUUUUCCAUUCUCUCACUUUCAGUCUAUGUAUGUCUUUAGUUCUGAAGUCUCUUGUAGGUAGCAUAUAGAUAGGUUUUAUAUUUUUAUCCAAUCAGCCAUCCUAGGUCUUUUGAUUGAAGUAUUUAAUUCAUUGACAUUUAAAGUGAUUAUUGAUAUAUAUGUAUUUAUUACCAUUUUGUUACUUAUUUUCUAGUUGUUUUGUAGUUCUUCUCUGUUUUCUUCUUUUAGUCUCUUCCCUUAUGGCUUUUUUAGUGUUAUAGUUAUGUUCCCUUCUCUCUGGUUUUUGUAUAUCUAUUGUAGGUUUUUGAUCUGUCGUUACCAUUGACUUCACAUGUUGACUUAAACUAUAUCUACUUGUUUUAAACUGAUGGUCAUUUAAUCUCAAACACAACCUAAAAGCUUUACAUUUUUUAAUGUCCCCAUGUUAUGCAUUUUUGAUGUCAUAAUUUACAACUUCAUGCCUAUCUCUUAAAUUUUAUUGUAGUUAUAGUUAAAUUUAUAAUUUUUAACUUUCAUACUAGCUUAUUGAAGUAGCUGAUCCACAUUAUAUAUUUGACCGUUACUAUAUAUUUGCCCUUACCAGUGGGAUUUUUUCCCUUCCUAUAAUUUCUUAUAUCUUGUAGCCUUUUCUUUUUCAUUUAAAGACUCUUUAACACAUUUGUAAGGUUGGUUUAAUAUUGAUUUAAUAUUAAUUUUUGUGGAGUUCCCGUCAUGGCGCAAGGUUAACGAAUCCAACUGGGAACCAUAGGUUGCGCGUUUGAUCCCUACCCUUGCUCAGGGUGUUAAGGAUCGGCGUUGCCGUGACCUGUGGUGUGGGUCGCAGACGCAGCUCGGAUCCCGAGUUGAUGUGGCUCUGGUGUAGGCUGUGGCUACAGCCCGAUUGGACCCCUAGCCUGAGAACCUCCCUAUGCCAUGGGAGUGGCCCAAGAAAUGGCAAAAAGAAAAAAGUAAUAACAAUUUUUGCUUGUCUGUGAAUCUAUUUAUCUCUCUUUUGAUUCUGAAUGAUAAUUAUACCAGGAGAAGUACCCCAGUUUGCAGGUUUUUUUCUUCUCAGCCUUUAAAUAUACUAUGCCAUUCCCUACUGGCCUGCAAAAUUUAUGCUGAAAAAUCAGUCUUAUGGGAUCCCCUGGUAUAUGACUUUUCUUUUUUCUCUUGUUGACUUUAGAAUUCUCUCUUUAUUUUUAACUUUUGCUGUUUUAGUUAUAAUAUGUCUCGAUGUAGUAUCUUUGGGUUCAUCUUGAUUGAAAUUCUUUGCUUCCUGUACCUGGACAGUUUUCAGGCAUAAUUUCACCAAAUACAUUUUUACCCCCUAAAUAGUAAUUUUAAUAGUCUUUUCCUUUUAGUACCCCUAUAAUGCAAACGUUAGUGUGCUUAAUGUUAUCUCAGAGGUCCCUUAAAUUAUCCUAAUUUUUUAAAAUGUGAUUUUCUCCUCCCUAUUCUGAUGUGGGGAUUUCCAUUAUUGUAUCUUCCAAAUCACUUAUGCAUUCUUCUAUAUCACCUCAUCUGCUAUUAAUUUCCUUUAUUAUUUUCUUUCAGUUAUUUUAUUCUUUAGCUGUAACUGAUUUUUUUUUGUAUAUUUUUGUUAAAUUUCACAUUGUGUCCACCUAUUCUUUUCCCCAGUUCAGUUAGCGUUCUUAUUACUAUUGCUUUGAACUAUAUAUCAAGUAAAUUACUUAUCUCUGAUUCAUGGAGGCUUUCCCUCUGGGUUUUUUCCUUGUUCUUCUAUUUGAAACAUAUUUGUCUGUCUUCUUAUUUUGUUUCAUUUUCUCUGUUUUUAUGAAAUUAAGUGAAACAGUUAACUAUACCAGUCUUGAAGGUUUGUCCUUGUUAGGGAGUGUCCAUAUGCAGUCUCUGUGUGCCUCUGGUGAGAGCUGGAUCUGAAGUGAGCAUGGGCUGUCUUCCCCCAGGGUGUGCUGGAAGUCACUGCCAUAUUAAGAGGCAAGGCAAAGGUUGAGGGGCUAGAGACAGAGUCAGUUGUAAGUCCAGGUUUCUCCUAAACUCAAUGGCCAUCACUGUCCUAUUGGGAGCUCAGGGGGAGCUCAAAGGGUGGAGCAGGGAGUUCAGAGGUAGCUGGAUUUCUUCAGGUGUGAAGGAAGUCUUUGCUUUGGUUUGUGGCAUGGUGAAGGCCUGAUGGCUUGGGCUGCAUUUCUCUGUUUCACUUUUUCCCUAUUGUGUAUGACUUAAUUAGAGGCUGGGUCAGGCUUGAGGGGUUGGUGUAACCCCACUGAGCUGGCCCCACCUCUUCUCAUUUUGCACAGGGAUGCUGGCUCUGGAAAGGCCAUCUACAUCCGGAAACUAGAUUUACUCCUAGAGAGUGUGUGCAGGGUCAUGUGAGCUGGCCAUGGCUACUUCCACCUUGUUCAGAGGUAAGGCUAGGGCCCAAGCUAGCUCCAUUCACUUUAAGUGUGCACAUUCUCAUUAGCAAUGACAGCCUCUGCCUUAGUGCAGAGUAGUAACACAGCAAGAGGGACUCAAGCAGGAACUAGUGCAGGCUGGGGGUUUGCACUGAGGCAGUCCUAGCAAGACAGCAGAGUCCUAAACAUUUUUCAAUAUGUUCCCUAUGCUCUGUGAGUGAGAGUAAGCAGAUUUGUAUGUGCACUUUUAAAGAGAAAGGUCUUUCUUUCUUACAACCCUUAGGCCCCACUAUUUUUCAAAUCAGCUAAAGGGGCUCAUCUUCCCAGAGUCAGACCCCAGGCUAGCGUGCCUAAACCCUUGCUCUCCCCUUGCUCUCUCUAGGAUCCUCUAGCUUUUGAUAUCCCUUUCCUCUUCUGUGUCCUCCUCUAGAGGUGUAAGUACAAACAAGAUUGCUUUUCCUCCCUUCCUACCAGUAUCCAUGUUGAUCUUUCUUUACAGCCUUGGAGGUAGAAGAGCUGUUCUACUAGUCCUCAAUCAAUUUCAGUGAGAGUCCUCUAUAUAUAGUCUCUCUAAAACUAGUUAUAGUUUUGAUUUUUUAGUGUAGGGAGGUAAGCCCAGUGUAAUCCUACUCUGCCAUCUUGAUCUCUCCUAAAUAUUAAUUCUUAAAUUAAUCAUUCUCACUAGUAAACACCUGCUUAAUUCAUUAUAUAUUAGAAUACUAUAAGUUUGAUUUAUCCUAUCACAUUGACAUUAACUCCAAAUUUAUCAAGUAUGGGAGAAUAAGACUGUCAAUAUGAAUUUGUACAUGAAUUUUUACUGCUUUCUACUAUGUCCCUGGCAUAUUUGCACAGAGCUGAUAAAAAACAUUUGAUAUUUUAUGUAAAAUUUUAGCAGUCUCAUGAGGUCCUGGGGACAGAAGAGUGACUUACAUUUAAUGAAUUUUAUAAUUGAGAAUGAAGUGAAGCAAACAGUCUCACACAUGGCUGGCAAAUACAUAAAUUCAUUUAACUUUUCUAAAAAGCAAUGUAAUAAUAUAUAUAAGGAUCCUUAGAGGUGUUUAAAUUUUGACUCACAAUUCUGUAAAAAAUAAAUAAGACUAAGGUAAAAACAGAAAAAAUAAUUAAGAUCCAUGUACAAAUAUGUUCAUCUUAAUAUAAUAUGUAAUACUUAAAGAUAUGAAUAUUAAAUAGUUGAAAAACAAGUAUUCAACUUGUUUGAUGAGCUAAAUAAAUUAUGAAGAGAAUAAAACAAUGCAAGGGACAAAGCUAGAGAAGGUUAAACACAAACUUAUGGUAUAUGUAUAUGGACAUGUAAGAAAAUAUUAUUGUAAUUUGUAAUGUUAAAAAAAUUUUUAAAUAAGACAACCAAAAAAAUCUUAAAGUGGAGAAUUAUACCAGAACAAAUAUUCUAGGAAAUUCUUUGUAGUAAAACUUGACAACUGUAAGCUUAUAAUAUAUUAUAAUUUCUUUUGCUUAUAGUGAAAUUACUGAUGUUGGUUUUGUUUCCUUAUUCUCAUCCAUUGUAGACUCAAUACCUUAAAUUUUUCUUCCUGUGAACUAUGGAAAACAGUAUGGAGACUCCUCAGAAAGCUAAAUAUAGAACUACUAAAUGAUCCAGUAAUCACACUCCUGUACAUAUAUCCAGACAAAACUACAAUUCAAAAACAUACAUGCACCCAUAUGUUCACAGGCACACUAUUCACAAUAGCCAAGACAUGGAAACAACCUAAAUGUAUAUCAACUGAUGAAUGUAUUAAGAAGAUGUGGUAUAUGUAUACAAUGGAAUACUACUUGGCCAUAGAAAGGAAAAAAAAAUGCCAUUUGCAGCAACAUGUAUGCAACUAGUGAUUAGCAUACUAAGUGAAGUAAGUCAGAAGUAGAAAGAAAAUACAAUAGAAUACAACUUAUAUGUGGAAUCUAAAAUGUGGCACAAAAGAACUAUCUACAAAACAGAAACAGACUCACAGACCUAGAAAAUAGACUGUAGUUGCCAAAGAAGAGGAGGAGGGAGUGGAAUGGACUGGGAAUUUGGGGUUAGUAGAGGCAAACUAUUUCCAUUUAGUAUGAAUAAGUAAUGAGGUCCUAAUGUAUAGCACAGGAAACUAUAUCAUGUCUCUUGGGAUAGACCAUAAUGAAGAUAAUAUGAGAAAAAGAAUGAAUAUAUGUAUGUCUGGGUCAUUUUGCUAUAUAGCAGAAAUUGGCAGAACAUUGUAAAUAAACUAUAAUUUAAAAAUUAAGUAGUGGUUUUGCCAUGGUGAAUAAAGAAAAUAAGAAGCUAGAUUUCCUAAGUUUCAUAGUCUAGUGUUUGAAAACUUCUGGUGUUUAACUGUGACAAAAAAAUAUAUAGUAUAUUUUUGCCAAAUAGACUGAUGUUUCUAUUUUAAUGAUGUUUAAUGUUCUGAAUUUUAAAAUGUCUUAUUAAGUUCUGUUAUUUAAUUUAAUUUGAAGUUCAGAAAGCUUACUAAAUACUGAACAGUUUUUUAUUUCUUAAACUGUUUGAGGGUAGGGCUGGCAGGGAAAGCUAUGAUUUUUUUUAUCAAGUAUAUAAAAUGUUAAAAGAACAGUGGAAAGGAAAUGCAAAAAGGAAACUAUACAGGAAGAUUUCAAUGAACUUUCAUACCUAUUUUGUGUUGCUGCCAUUAUUUUUAAAAAUACAUCUGGGAGUUCCCAUCGUGGCACAGUGGUUAACGAAUCCGACUAGGAACCAUGAGGUUGCGGGUUCGAUCCCUGGCCUUGCUCAGUGGGUUAACGAUCCGGCAUUGCCGUGAGCUGUUGUGUAGGUUGAGGAUGCGGCUCAGAUCCCAUGUUGCUGUGGCUCUGGUGUAGGCUGGUGGCUACAGCUCUGAUUGGACCCCUAGCCUGGGAACCUCCAUAUGCCAUGGGAGCGGCCCAAGAAAUGGCAAAAAGACAAACACACACACACACACACACACACACAUAUAUAUAUCUGAAAUCUGAUGUAUCUUUCAGUAUUUUUACUUCCACUACCGUAGUCCAAGCCAUCAACAAUUCCUGCCUAGACUAUCAUCAUAGUUAUUGUCUACUUAUGUUCACUGUGAAUCUUAUAAUCCUAAUAAAAUGGAAAUGACAUUAAAUUCAGAACAUAUCACUUACUGCUGAAAUGCAUCCAAUUACUUAAAAUUGCCUUAAAAUAAAAGCAAAAGAAGACCUACGCAGUCUUUGUUACCUGGCAUCUGACCGUAUCUCCAAAAUCAAUUACCACCAUUAACAUUUCACUCAACUUCAGCCAAACUGGCCACCAUGAGAUUCUUUAAACAUUUCCCUGCCUCAGGGCCUUUGGGAAUUCCUUCAAACUAGAAUGCUUUUCCUCUAAAUAUUUCCAUGGUUCACUGAAUUUCUCUUCCUUUGGUUUUUGGUAAACAUCAGGUAAACAUCAUCUUCUCAGAAAGAGAAGCCUCUAUCACCGAACCCUGCAUUCAUUUUCUUUACUGAAUACCUUAUAAACUGACUUUACCUUUUUUGAUUUUUAAUUUUUUUCACCCACUGGAACAGAGACUUGUCCAUUUCCGUUUGCCUGUUUUAAGACACUGUACCCAAAGUACCUAGAAUAGUGCCUUACACAUAAUGAGUUGCAUU
rnacentral:lncRNA from 1 species